UCACCUGCAGCGUCCGCUUCUUCAACGGGACGCACACGGAGCUCUACUCACACUCCAUCCUGGGGGGGAAAGGAGCGCUGACCAGAGAGAAAUAUCUGAGGAUCACACAGACGGCCAAACUGUCCUACGGGGUUCUCAUCGUCAAGAGCGCC